GAUGAACGCUGGCGGCGUGCUUAACACAUGCAAGUCGAACGAACCUUCGGGUUAGUGGCGGACGGGUGAGUAACGCGUGAGAAUCUGCCCUCAGGAGGGGGAUAACGGCUGGAAACGGGCGCUAAUACCCCAUAUGCCGAGAGGUGAAAUGAAUUUCGCCUGAGGAUGAGCUCGCGUCUGAUUAGCUAGUUGGUGUGGUAAAGGCUCACCAAGGCAUCGAUCAGUAGCUGGUCUGAGAGGAUGAUCAGCCACACUGGGACUGAGACACGGCCCAGACUCCUACGGGAGGCAGCAGUGGGGAAUUUUCCGCAAUGGGCGCAAGCCUGACGGAGCAACGCCGCGUGAGGGAUGAAGGCCUCUGGGCUGUAAACCUCUUUUAUCAAGGAAGAAGAUCUGACGGUACUUGAUGAAUAAGCCACGGCUAAUUCCGUGCCAGCAGCCGCGGUAAUACGGGAGUGGCAAGCGUUAUCCGGAAUUAUUGGGCGUAAAGCGUCCGCAGGCGGUCUUGAAAGUCUGUUGUUAAAGCGUGGAGCUCAACUCCAUUUCAGCAAUGGAAACUAGAAGACUAGAGUGUG
rnacentral:rRNA from 1 species